AUUGAACGCUGGCGGCAGGCCUAACACAUGCAAGUCGAGCGGAGCGGCGGGCGGGUGAGUAAUGCCUAGUAAUCUGCCUGGUGGUGGGGGAUAACGUCCGGAAACGGGCGCUAAUACCGCAUACUAUCAGGUGAGCCUAGGUCGGAUUGGCUAGGUGGUUGGGUAAAGGCCUACCAAGGCGACGAUCCGUAACUGGUCUGAGAGGAUGAUCAGUCACAUUGUAACGGAGAAACGGUCCAUACUCCUACGUGAGGUGGCAGUGGGGAAGAUUGGAAAAGGGGCGAAAGCCUGAUCCAGCCAUGCCGCGUGGGUGAAGAAGGCCUUCGGGUUGUAAAGCACUUUCAGCGGGGAGGCGUUAACCGCAGAAGAAGCACCGGCUAACUCCGUGCCAGCAGCCGCGGUAAUUC
rnacentral:rRNA from 1 species